AGGGAAAGCGGGCGGUAGGCCUAACACAUGCAAGUCGAACGGCAGCACAGGAGAGCUUGCUCUCUGGGUGGCGAGUGGCGGACGGGUGAGGAAUACAUCGGAAUCUGCCCAGUCGUGGGGGAUAACGUAGGGAAACUUACGCUAAUACCGCAUACGACCUUCGGGUGAAAGAGGGGGAUCGCAAGACCUCUCGCGAUUGGAUGAGCCGAUGUCGGAUUAGCUAGUUGGCGGGGUAAUGGCCCACCAAGGCGACGAUCCGUAGCUGGUCUGAGAGGAUGAUCAGCCACACUGGAACUGAGACACGGUCCAGACUCCUACGGGAGGCAGCAGUGGGGAAUAUUGGACAAUGGGCGCAAGCCUGAUCCAGCCAUACCGCGUGGGUGAAGAAGGCCUUCGGGUUGUAAAGCCCUUUUGUUGGGAAAGAAAUCUUUCAGGCUAAUACCCUGGGAGGAUGACGGUACCCAAAGAAUAAGCACCGGCUAACUUCGUG
rnacentral:rRNA from 1 species